AGACCUCAAAUCAGUCAGGACUACCCGCUGAACUUAAGCAUAUCAAUAAGCGGAGGA
rnacentral:rRNA from 1 species